ensembl:lncRNA
AUGAUGAUUAUGCUGCUGCUCCUCAUACCUGUUUCCCAGCAUGCCUCAGGUAUGGAGGUGGAGGUGUAUGAUGGGGUGGAGUCUGUCCUGCUGCCCUGUCAGUUACCAGCUGAUGUUUCCAGUGACUUCUUAGCAGCAGUGUGGGACCGUGAGGAGCUCAAGGACCCAACAGUCCACGUGCGUCUGCAGAGUGGUGAUGAUUUUAAAGAUCAGAACGUUCGUUACACCAACAGAACAUCACUGAGAGCCGACGCUCUGCAGACUGGAGACCUCAGCCUCACUCUGAGGAACCCCACAGUCUCUGACAGUGGAAACUAUACCUGCAACACUCGAGUAUUUAGAGGAAAUCAGAGCCAGAUCGAUAUCCAACUGAAGGUCACAGAACCUCCUGCAGUCUGGCCCAUAGUUCUCUUAGCUGUCCUGGAUCCUGUGGUUCUCCUGGCUGCUGGCUUUGGUGUCUUCAUCUAUCAUAGAUAUAAAAUGAUGAAGAGCAGAAAAGUCUAUCCAGUGGAGAUGGUUGAGGUGAAACAGGGGGAGGAGUCUGUCCAGCUGUCCUUUCAGAUCACAGAAGAAAAAGAUGUUCCUCUGGACGUCAAAGUGGCGUGGAGACAUCAAAACACGACGGUCCAUGUGUAUAAGAAUGGUGGUAAUCAGUCUCUAUUAAAGGACCAGAAUCACAGAGACCGCACAGAGAUGAAUGAAGAUCCUCUGAGAAUUAAAGACUUCAGUCUGAAACUGAAAGACCCCCAACUUAGUGAUCGUGGAAUCUACACCUGCACUGUCUAUGACAGAAAUGCAGACAUCCUGCUACAGAAGGUAGUGACUCUUAGUGUCAGAGUUCCCGAGGUGGUGGAAGUAGUUAAAGGGAUGCAGUCUGUCAUUCUGCCAUUUACAACUGAAGUCCUGAAGCUUCAGGAUGUCACCGUGGAGUGGAAACACGAAGACAAGAAAGUCCACGUGCGUCAGAAUGGCCGUAACCAGUCUCACGAUCAGGAGGUGAAUCAAGAGCCAGUGAAAAAUGGAAACCUGCAACACACUGAUGAUGGUACCUACACCUGCACUGUCUACAGUGAGGGUGAAGAAAUCCUGCUACAGAAAGUCGUGUCGAUCACAGUCAGAGUCUACCCGGUGGAAAUGGUGAAUGCGACACAAGGAGAGAAGUCUAUCCUGCUGCCUUUUAAAGUCACAGAUCACCUUCCUCAGGAUGUCAAAGUUGAGUGGAGACUCAUUAACCCUGAAGACCGGAUGGUCUACGUGUAUGAAAGGAGUAAAAAUGAGUCUCCUUCACGAGACCAUGUAUACAGAGGUCGUGCAGAGAUGGAUGAAGAUCCACUGAACACUAAAGACCUCAGUCUGACCCUGAAAGACCUCCGCCUCACUGACAGUGGAGUCUACACCUGCACCGUGUAUAACAAGGAUGGACACAUGCUGCUACAGAAAGUAGUGACUCUCAGUGUCAGAGACUAUCCAUUGGAGAUGGUGGAAGUGACACAGGGAGAGGCGUCUGUCCUGCUGCCCUUUAAAAUCACAGAAGAUCUCCUUGAGGACAUCAAAGUAGAGUGGAAACAUCAAAAUAUCAUCGUCCAUGUGUAUCAGAAUAGCCAAAACCAGUCUCUCUUAAUGGACGAGGAUUAUAAAGGCCGCACAGAGAUGAAUGAAGGGCCUCUGAAAAAUAAAGACCUCAGUCUGACCCUGAAAGGCCUCCAACUUAGUGACCAUGGUGGCUACACCUGCACCGUCUACAACAAAGAUGGCAGCAUCCUGCUACAGAAAGUAGUGACACUCAGUGUCAGAGGAUACCAGACAGAGAUGGUGGAGGUGAUGGAGGGAGAGGGGUUUGUCCUGCUGCCUUUUAAAAUCACAGCUGACCUUCCACGUGACAUCAAAGCAGAGUGGAGACUCACUCACCCUGAAGAAAAGAUGGUCCAUGUGUAUGAGAGUGGAAACAACCUCUCAGAUGAAGACGACCAGGAGCAGGUUUACAGUAGCCGCACAGAGAUGAAUGAAGAUCCUGUGACUACUAAAGACCUCAGUCUGAUCCUGAAAGACCUCCACCUCACUGACAGUGGAGUCUACACCUGCACCGUCUACAACAAGUAUGGAUACAAGCUGCUACAGAAAUCAGUGACUCUCAGUGUCAGAGAUAGAAAGUCUGACAUUAAGGUUGAAGAUGGGGGACACAUCUGACACAGGAGAAAAUUAACCAACCAGAGGAAUCCACCAUUGAUCGAGCUUCCUCUGAGUCACGUCCUCUUCCUGCCUCCUUCCUGUGAGUCAUGUCCUCUUCCUCCCUCCUUCUCUCUGUUCCUCUUGUUUUUCAUCUGUUGUUAAAGUUGGUGUGAAUUGUUCAGUGUGGAGGUGACAGACAUGAUGUGACUAUUACAGUAUUACACUACAAAUCCUUCCUAAAAGUAUGAUGUAAAUAAACAAACUCGAGUGCAUGUGUAACACAAUAAGAUGGCGGAGCAUAAGUAGAAGGCACUAUGGGUCACCACGUGCUGUUUGUAUGUGUGUGUUUUUGUUACAAAACACAUUUAAAAAUGUCUGCAGCCCCCGAAGACUACUAAAGACUCAUCUCCAUGACAACAGCGUGUCCACCACUGCAGCUCUCCUCUGACAAACCCUGAGCUCCACCUGAGUCUCCAUCCUGAGGACCUCCUUCAGCCUCCUCAUAUCAAUCCAAACUAAAUCAAACACAUCAGUGAACCCUGAGCUGGAUUCAUUUAUUAGAAGCAGCUGACCCAACAUAAUACUAACAUAAAUGAUCCUAAAGUAAUCCUGUAACAGACAUUACUGCUGCAGGCUGAUUACACAGAACCUCAAACACACUCUGAUCUGAUCUAUUUAAAAUUAUGAAAACUUCUUGUGGGUCAAAGGUCAAAGCUGCUGACUGUCAGGAACCAUCAGAGUUUCAGAGAAGAUCAGCUUUUAAUAAACAGCAGAGAAGAAUAUUAUGCUCAUGCAUGUACUUGUUUAUAUCUGUGUGCUGAAGCCUGUGGUCUGAGUGUGUUGUUCCUAUCAGUGUGACAUGAACUGUAAUCUGAAUGUGUUGUAAUGGUUCAGUCGAACAAACUUACUGCACAUAUUUAUAUAUUUAUUUAUUUUAGUAUCAAAGUGUUGAACUGUGAGGUAAAAUGAAAACUUUAACAUCAGUCCUCCUCUGUGUAAAGCUGACCUGGAAGGAUGACAUGUUUCUAUAAAUGACUCUGUGAUUGUUGCUGUUGUGAUGUUUGGUUGUUUGACUCUCUGCAAACGCAAAGACCACCUGUUUGUGUAGAUCAGUGUAUCAGAUUUCCACAACAAUGCGUUAUUAGAAAUAAGAUGAUUAGAGUUACCUCACUGUGAGGAUUUAUUCAAAGACAUGAUGACUCUGUGUGCUGCUCCACUUUACCGUCUGCUUCAACUUCACAUUAAACAAUAGACAUUCAGAAACGUUCACCUUCUGAAACUCUGUUCAUUUACACUCUCAGUACUUGGUUUGGGCUCCAGUACAGUACAGGGCUCCAGAUUGCUCUCGUCCACUGAAGCAAGAGAGCACUACUUCCUGAAGACAACUUCCCUUACAAAAGGACAUUCUGCCUAGUUACCACUAGGUGGUAGUAACACUUCUACAAUCAGUCCACUCUAUUACACUUUCCUCACAUGAAAAUGCUUCUGCACCUGAAGGCCACAGGAGGGCGCACCUGUGAUCAGGU